rnacentral:rRNA from 1 species
AUUGAACGCUGGCGGCAGGCCUAACACAUGCAAGUCGAACGAGUGGCGGACGUGUGAGUAAUGUCUGGGCAACUGCCUGAUGUAGGGGGAUAACUACUGGAAACGGUAGCUAAUACCGCCUACCAUCGGAUGUGCCCAGAUGGGAUUAGCUAGUUGGUGGGGUAACGGCUCACCAAGGCGACGAACCCUAGCUGGUCUGAGAGGUUGACCUGCCACACUGGAACUUGGACAAGGUCCAGACUCCUACGGGAGGCAGAAGUGGGGAAUAGUGCACAAGGGGCACAAGCCGGAUGCAGCAAUGCCGCGUGUAUGAAGAAGGCCUUCGGGUUGUAAAGUACUUUCAGCGGGGAUGCGUUACCCGCAGAAGAAGCACCGGCUAACUCCGUGCCAGCCGCCGCGGUAAUUC